GAUGAACGCUGGCGGUAUGCUUAACACAUGCAAGUCGAACGGACUCUUCGGAGUUAGUGGCGGACGGGUGAGUAACGCGUGAGAAUCUGGCUUUGGGUUCGGGACAACCACUGGAAACGGUGGCUAAUACCGGAUGUGCCGAGAGGUAAAAGAGAAAUUGCCUGAAGAUGAGCUCGCGUCUGAUUAGCUAGUUGGUGAGGUAAAGGCUCACCAAGGCAGCGAUCAGUAGCUGGUCUGAGAGGAUGACCAGCCACACUGGGACUGAGACACGGCCCAGACUCCUACGGGAGGCAGCAGUGGGGAAUUGUCCGCAAUGGGCGAAAGCCUGACGGAGCAGUACCGCGUGAGGGAAGAAGGCUCUUGGGUUGUAAACCUCUUUUCUUAGGGAAGAACAAAAUGACGGUACCUAAGGAAUCAGCACCGGCUAACUCCGUG
rnacentral:rRNA from 1 species